rnacentral:lncRNA from 1 species
AAAAUUAAAUACAUAAAAAUAAAAAAAAAAUCAAAAACAAAACAUGGAAGAUUGCAAUUUGUUUUAAUUUACCCAUUCAAUUUUUACUUUUAUUUUUAUUUUCAAUUUUUUUACGCAUAUUGGUUAAUUGCAGGUUGCGAACGUGGAAAAUAAAGCGUGUCCUAUGCUGGAAUCCUGCACCCAGCAGCAAGUCUAACGUUCACAUCAACCACAUCUACACUAGGCAGAAAAUUUAAAGCAGUCAGCAUAAAAAAAAAAAAUCAUUCACAGCUGCAAGUUUGGGGGAGAUUGUUGCAGAUCCAGCACAGAAACAGAAUUUAGAGCAAUUAAUUUUCUGCAGCUCAGUUUUGCGAUGCAUGGAGGAAGCACAAUUAAAUCACAGAUCCAUACACCACAGAACUGAGUACAGCUAUUAUUACCAGAUCUACAACAAUUCCACUUCCAAGGAUAUGAAAUUUUACCUCCCAGAUUCACCGAUCUGGGUUCUUAGAAGCUUGUCCCGUUUUUGUCUAUUGCAGCUGAGGUUUCGCCGUCCACUUUAUUUCCCACGGAUCUAUCAGUGACCAUAUUUCCUGAAAAGUUCACAACAAGAAGACUAAUGACAAUUUGAUUUUCAUGAUCCAGGUUAUGUAUCACUUAAAACACACAAGCUUGUGAAAGUCAUAUUUUCUUACGGUCUUAUUAGUGUUGAUAUUUGUUCAUCAGUCUCCCGCACUUCAAGUUCACUUUCAUCAUAUCAUGUUAAUCAGUAUGUUGUUCGUUCGAUUCAUGUUCAAACCCGCAUAUACAUAUGGUUUUUGUUAUCAUUUUUCUAAGUUCCAUGGACGAAAUAAAUCAUGACAUUUAACCAAGAACAGGGAUGAGUUUAUACCUUCAUAGUCGAAAGAUCAAAACCUUCAUGAUGGGCCAUGCUUUAUGUCCAGUGGAUUUUCAGUUUGAGAGUUCUUUCUCGGGUCUGUCACAGAUCUGAGUGUUGUGCACACAUACCACACCAUUAUAAUUAUAUGCAUAUGUGAUGAAGCUAUUUUUGUCAUUAACCUACGGAGUACAAGAUUUUUACCUUUUGCAGGAAACAGAUCUGCAAGGUUGUAGCUGGUUUGCGUUUUCUUUGUCAUGGCUAAACUUCCAGAUCGAGAACCUGUGCACAUAAACAAAAUACCACAUCAGUCUACACAUGCAGUGUGGAGUAUAUGAGACGCACAAAUGGACAAUGUUUACCUCUGUGGUAAGGCUGUGUUCGGAUUUUUGCAGAGGAAAGUGUGUGUGGUUGCGCGGCUAAGGGUGAGGAGGAGUAAGGAAAUGAGAGAAAAAUGUGAAAGAAGGAGAGCUUUUUUUCAUUUUAGAGAGCAAUGGGGUCUGAGAGAAGAGAGAGAGAGUUGUGAAAUAAAAAGAAAGUAGAGAGAUGAAAUGGGGUCCGAGAGAACUAAAAAAAUAAAAUAAUAGAAGGGCUUGCUGUGAAAUGGAGAGAAAGCAUUUUCAGAUCUGCAAGGAAGAGAGAGAUAUGGGCAAGUGGGUUGAUCUUAACCUUUUAGUUGGAAUCCUAAGAAGUGGUCGCACGGAUGCGCGACACGUGUCCAAUUCUGGCAUUUUUCUUGUCUGUCCGAGAACGUGGUCUUGAACUAGGCAAAGAAAGAGCCGUUUGGCUCUUGGUUUAAUCAAACGCAGAGAGUAGGAGGGCGUGGUGCUCGAGGUCAACCAGAAAAAAAAAAAAAAAAAAAAAUUCAAGUUGCACGCGGAACCUUUUCAUUUCCCAGGCCAUAUAGGAGGCCACGUCUCCUAGCUGCAUGCCAGUUGGAGAUUUUCAUUGCAUGGGUUUUGUGUGGCUUUUAUUUGGCCACACUUAUAUCAACCACAACGUCACUUCCAAAGCCAGGUAGUCUUUUUUCUUUUUCUUUGGUUCUUGUUACUACUUUUCCUUGUUAUAAUUAUUAUUUGUUAGUUUAAGUUUAUUUUAUUUUUGUCAUUUUUUUUAUUUUCGUUUCCACACCUUGAGGACAAAGUGUGAAAUAAGUUUGGGGGUGGGAAAGUAAAUUUUAGUUUUUUUUAUUAUUGUGUCCGUUUAAAAAUUUUCAUUCGUGCUAAGUUAAUAUCCAUAGAUUAUUUUAAACGUUAGAACAAAUGGACAUGGUAAAGAUUAAUCCCAUAGUAGAGUCUUUUCUAUUUAUCGUUGCUUAGACACUAAUUCAUGAAUUAUACUUUGAACUUUGCACAUCACACCAACAUGGUUUGUGGGGAGUGAGAUUGAAACACUUGCUUUUAGUCUAAGUUAUUUUUAAUUUUUGUUUUAAGUAAAGUCAGUUAUUAUUGUGAAUAAAGUAAUAAUUGUCUCACCCGAGGUUUUGCCUAGUAACCGGGCCAGUCCUGCCUAAUCAGCAGUGAUUCUCGCGUCAAACGGUAGAGUUUUGGCAUGAGGCAGGGUGGUUAGUUGGUUUCGUAGCCUUUUCAGUUCGGGUUAAUAAGUCCUUAGGGGUGUUCUACACCUAGUGCCCUAAAGCCCUAGUGGUUUGGGAGUCAUUGACCUAAAGCUCGCUACAUGGGUUGGAUUGAAAGCUUAAGUGAACCGACAUUGCACGACCACUACUGUUACUGAAAAAAAAAAAAAAAUGUUAUAUACAUGAAAAAAAAAAGAGAAAAAAAAAAUUGAAAAAGAAAAAAAAAAAAAAAAAAAAGAAAGAGAGUUAUAUUUAAAGUUAGUAUGUGUGAAAUAAAUAAGGACGAGAGGUAAGGGUUUUAGUCGAGUCCCCUUAAUUAUGUUGGUUCACUUUACACCAAAGGAAGUUUGUGAAUUCUUUUCUAAUUGAUUCUAAAUGGCUUAGACUCUGUGGUGGGAUUGGUUGGAACUUUUGAAAAAAUGUUCUAGUUUUUUAAAUUUGCUAUGGAUUGCAACUUUGAAGAUGAAAAUUUUUGUCAGUUAAUUUUAGCUAGUUGUCUAGUUUGUUAAGUUUUUAUUUUUUGUUUGAGUCUUGUUUUCCUUGAGGACAAGCAAAAAGCUAAGUUUGGGGGUAUUUGAUGAGUAGAUUUUAUAUUAUAUAUUUUACCCUA